AGGAAUUAGGUUAUAAGAGAGAGGAGGAGAAAGAGUGAAUUUGGUUAAGAAAUUAAGAAAAGAGAGAAGAGAAAGAAUGAUGUGAAAGAAAAACUGAGUGAUGAUGGAAGAAAGGAAGAUGAAGGUUCGGUCGGAAAGGGAGAAGACGAAAGUGGUGAUUAGGCAUUUGCCUCCUUCUCUCACUCAAUCCGAUCUCUUCCACCACAUCGAUUCGCACUUCGCUUCACGUUACAAUUGGUUCUCUUUCAGACCCGGCAACACCAGCCACAAGCGUCAGAGGCAUUCCCGAGCCUAUAUAGACUUCAAUUCUCCUCAUGAUGUUUUCGACUUCGCUGAGUUCUUCGAUGGACAUGUUUUUGUUAACGAGAGAGGUGCCCAACAUAAAGCGAUUGUUGAGUACGCCCCUUCCCAGCGUGUUCCAAAGCCAACUACCAAGAAGGANGGACGUGAAGGGACCAUCUAUAAAGAUCCAGACUAUCUGGAGUUCCUCAAACUCAUUGCAAAGCCACAUGAGCAUCUUCCCANUGCAGAGAUACAAUUGGAAAGAAAAGAAGCUGAACAAGCUGGGGCUAACAAGGAAACACCUAUUGUCACUCCCUUGAUGGAAUAUGUUCGACAGAAACGUGCUGCUGACACUGGUAUGCAGGCCUCAUCAGCGGUGGCAAAAGUUAGCAGAAGAUCCAGAGCUGCUUUGCNUGGCAAGCCUGGCUCGGGCAAUACUAAACGAGGAUCUGAAAAGAAGAAGUAUGUUCAGAAGGACAAUNCCAAGAGUGCUGCUCGCAAAGAGUCAAAAGACAAGUCAUCCUUUAUUGUGGUUCCCCGGCAAGAGGAUCUAUCAGCUGAAUCAAGUAUGAAAGGAAUUUCUGAAAUUGAAGCAUUGCAUGGCAUUGAAGGUUCCAUUUNUGGAAUUCCACUGUCUUCUGACUCUGGAAAGAAAAAAGUCCUUCUUCUAAAAGGGAAACAGCGGGAAAUUCCCAGUGCCACUGAGGNUACAAUAAAACAGCAAANCCUACAAUCUGGAAAUUCUCCUAUUUCAACUCAUGCAAAACAGAACCAGAGACGGGAAAAUAGUGGAAGAUUGAUCAGGAGCAUACUUCUAAAUAAUGAAGCUCGUCAAAGUCAGUCUCCUACUGGGACGCAACAUAAAAUUCAAAUUUUAAGCUNAGAGAAUGGGAAGCGACCACCUCNUCCUUUUGGUUCAAGGUCCGGGUUAAAUGAUCAACAUUCAUAUCACGAUACUGCACAAGUUAAUUCUGAAGGGGAUUCUAAGAGUGCUUUGGAUGAAAAAUUCGUAAAAAGGGAUCCACAUGGUUUGGGUAGUGGUGAGAAAACAGAAAAACGUACUAGAAGCAAGGAUAGACCUGAUCGUGGUGUUUGGACACCCCUUCGUCGUUCUGAUGUUUCACAUGCUGGUAGUGACUACUCAUCUUCAAUGGCACAACCUACUCUGUCAAAUCCUGAAUCCGCUGAAGGAGAAGUAAAAGAAAACGUUACUUCUUGGAACAGGGGCAGUGAAAUCUCUGCUUCUGCAGGUGGACGCGGCAAUCCUUCUAUUGAGAAUGGUUCCCAAAGAAAUUUUGCACGUCGUGGAGCUUCCUAUGUAGUGAAGGAUGAUGGUGCAGUCAGUAUAAGUGAAGGGAAACAUUCAAAGAAAAGUGUUGGGCACAGUGCUCAUGAGAAGCAAGUCUGGGUUCAGAAAUCUUCUUCAGGGUCUUAAAAUAUGUGAUUAAGUCUAAUCAGUCAGGACAUCAUUCCUGCAAAAUUGAGCUAUGGUCUCUGUUAAGGAUAUCAUUCAUCAUCCACAACUAAUUAAGGUCAACCUGAGUCCAAGCAACUUGAAAGUAAAAUGAUCCGGUUGUUUGCCUGAUGGAGCCUGCACAUUAAAGGGAAUGCAAAGUUACAGACCUCGUUGACAUGAUUAUCUACUGAAAACAGAUUGGCAUUGUUGACCAUAUGGGUGGGUUUAGACUCAUUAUGGUUAGUGUCUCCUUGAAUUGAGAAUAUUUCAGUGUUGCGAAAUGUUUGUGUUUGGGUUGUAACUGUAAAGUUCUUGGUAUAUAACAUGGGACACUAUGUUGGAAAGAGUGAAAAAUCUAGUCCCGUUCAGUGGACAAGUAGUUGGUUAUAUAUUAUUUUGUAUUGAAGGCUAGUAGUUUAUUUUUAGCGUGCACAUGGUGUACGUGAUAUUGUAAGGAUAUUAUAACGCCCUUGGUCCUCAAGAAAACUCCCAUACUCCAUGAAUGAAGAUUUUUUAAAAUAUUCGCCAAAGAGAGGAA